AACGAACGUUAGCGGCGCGCUUAACACAUGCAAGUCGAACGAGAAAGGGCUUCGGCCCCGGUACAGUGGCGCACGGGUGAGUAACACGUAGGUAACCUGCCCUUGAGUGGUGGAUAACAUUCCAAAAGGAGUGCUAAUACAGCAUAAGACCACGGUUCCAUCAAGGAACAGGGGUCAAAGCGGGCCUCUUCAUGAAAGCUCGCGCUUGGGGAUGGGCCUGCGGCGCAUCAGCUAGUUGGUGAGGUAAUGGCUCACCAAGGCUAAGACGCGUAGCUGGUCUGAGAGGAUGAUCAGCCACACUGGAACUGAGACACGGUCCAGACUCCUACGGGAGGCAGCAGUGGGGAAUUUGCGCAAUGGGCGAAAGCCUGACGCAGCGACGCCGCGUGGGUGAUGAAGGCCCUCGGGUUGUAAAGCCCUGUGGGGAGGGAUGAAUAAGGUAUGGCUAAUACCUAUACUGAUGACAGUACCUCCUUAGCAAGCACCGGCUAA
rnacentral:rRNA from 1 species